AACGAACGCUGGCGGCAGGCUUAACACAUGCAAGUCGAGCGAGACCUUCGGGUCUAGCGGCGGACGGGUGAGUAACGCGUCGGAAUGUGCCGUUCUCUACGGAAUAGCCGCGGGAAACUGGGAGUAAUCCCGUAUACGCCCUCCGGGGGCCAGAUUUAUCGGAGAAGGAUCGGCCAGCGUUGGAUUAGGUAGUUGGUGGGGUAAUGGAGCACCAAGGCGACGAUCCAUAGCUGGUUUUAGAGGAUGAUCAGCCACGCUGGGACUGAGACACGGCCCGGACUCCUACGGGAGGGAGGAGGGGGGAAUCUUAGACAAUGGGGGCAACCCUGAUGUAGCCAUGCCGCGUGAGUGAUGAAGGCCUUAGGGAUGUAAAGCUCUUUCAGCUGGGAAGAUAAUGACGGUACCAGCAGAAGAAGCCCCGGCUAACUCCGUGCCAGCCGCCGCCGUAA
rnacentral:rRNA from 1 species